rnacentral:misc_RNA from 1 species
UCUCCGUUGGUGAACCAGCGGAGGGAUCAUUACCGAGUUAUCAACUCCCAAACCCCUGUGAACAUACCCAACGUUGCUUCGGCGGGACCGCCCCGGCGCCCUCGGCGUCCCGGAACCAGGCGCCCGCCGGAGGACCCAAACUCUUGUUUAAACCAUAGUGGCAUAUUCUGAGUCUCACAAGAAAAAAUGAAUCAAAACUUUCAACAACGGAUCUCUUGGCUCUG